AGCUGUUACAGCUCUAGAAUUUUUUUCUAACAAGUUUUCUGACUUUGGUUAGAAAACCCAA
rnacentral:snRNA from 1 species